AACGAACGCUGGCGGCAUGCCUAACACAUGCAAGUCGAACGAAACCUUCGGGUCUGGUGGCGCACGGGGCGGUAACGGGGGGGGAUCUGCCCUUGGGUUCGGAAUGACAGGGAGGAAUUAGUGCGAAUACGGGAGGAUGUCUUCGGACCAAAGAUUGAUCGCCCAGGGAUGAGCCCGCGUAGGAUUAGCUAGUUGGUGGGGUAAUGGCCUACCAAGGCGAAGAUCGUUAGAUGGUCUCAGAGGAUGAUCACCCACACUGGUACUGAGACACGGCCCAGAAUCUUACGGGAGGCAGGAGUGGGUAAUAUUGGCAAACCGGCGCAAGCCAGAUCCACCACUGCCGGGAGAGUGAUGAAGGCCUUAGGGUUGUACAGCUCUUUUACCCGGGAUGAUAAUGACGGUACCGGCAGAAUAAGCUCCGGCUAACUCCGUG
rnacentral:rRNA from 1 species